rfam:Gossypium hirsutum cultivar TM-1 chromosome 18, whole genome shotgun sequence
AACCCAUGGUAAGGGAGCUGACUCAAUAAAUCCUUAUACAUCUCCCACACAUCAUAUAGAGCCUCUAAAUCCAUCUGAACAAAGGAAGAGAUAUCAUUCCUCAACUU